GGGUGCCUUUGGCUGAUGGCCGGAGGGAACACCUGAAGGCCGGAUGUGAAAAGGCCCCGGACAAAACAUUCAUGUUUAACCCGAGGCCUGACCAUUCAUCCUAAGCAAGUGAAAGGUUAGCGCCUCUCCGUAAAAGGAGCAAGCGUUAUG
rnacentral:antisense_RNA from 1 species